rnacentral:rRNA from 1 species
CCUACGGGAGGCAGCAGUAAGGAAUAUUGGUCAAUGGACGAAAGUCUGAACCAGCCAUGCCGCGUGAAGGAUGAAGGCCCUCUGGGUUGUAAACUUCUUUUAUAGGGGACGAAAAAAGGGCAUUCUUGCUCACUUGACGGUACCCUAGGAAUAAGCACCGGCUAACUCCGUGCCAGCAGCCGCGGUAAUACGGAGGGUGCAAGCGUUAUCCGGAUUUACUGGGUUUAAAGGGUGCGUAGGUGGGUUGGUAAGUCAGCGGUGAAAUCUUCGAGCUUAACUCGGAAACUGCCAUUGAUACUAUCAAUCUUGAAUCAUCUAGAGGUAAGCGGAAUAUGUCAUGUAGCGGUGAAAUGCUUAGAUAUGACAUAGAACACCAAUUGCGAAGGCAGCUUACUAUGGAUGUAUUGACACUGAGGCACGAAAGCGUGGGGAUCAAACAGGAUUAGAUACCCUGGUAGUCCACGCCCUAAACUAUGGAUACUCGACAUUUGCGAUAUACUGUAAGUGUNUGNGNGAAGANAUAAGUAUACCACCUACGGAGACGAGCGCGAGAGUAGAACGUACAAUAGAAGUUAGUACGGACGUGAGACGUUAGCCGACGGACGACGACGAGGGGAGGGUUAGGGAG